rnacentral:rRNA from 1 species
GAUGAACGCUGGCGGCGUGCCUAAUACAUGCAAGUCGAACGCUUCACUUCGGUGAAGAGUGGCGAACGGGUGAGUAAUACAUAAGUAACCUGGCAUCUACAGGGGGAUAACUGAUGGAAACGUCAGCUAAGACCGCAUAGGUGUAGAGAUCGCAUGAACUCGAUAUGAAAAGUGCUACGGGACUGGUAGAUGAUGGACUUAUGGCGCAUUAGCUGGUUGGUAGGGUAACGGCCUACCAAGGCGACGAUGCGUAGCCGACCUGAGAGGGUGACCGGCCACACUGGGACUGAGACACGGCCCAGACUCCUACGGGAGGCAGCAGUAGGGAAUUUUCGGCAAUGGGGGAAACCCUGACCGAGCAACGCCGCGUGAAGGAAGAAGUAAUUCGUUAUGUAAACUUCUGUCAUAGAGGAAGAACGGUGGAUAUAGGGAAUGAUAUCCAAGUGACGGUACUCUAUAAGAAAGCCACGGCUAACUACGUGCCAGCCGCCGCAGUAAAAC